GAUGAACGCUGGCGGCGUGCUUAACACAUGCAAGUCGAACGAAGCACUUAAGUUUGAUUCUUCGGAUGAAGACUUUGGUGACUGAGUGGCGGACGGGUGAGUAACGCGUGGGUAACCUGCCUCAUACAGGGGGAUAACAGUUAGAAAUGACUGCUAAUACCGCAUAAGACCACAGCACCGCAUGGUGCAGGGGUAAAAACUCCGGUGGUAUGAGAUGGACCCGCGUCUGAUUAGCUAGUUGGUGAGGUAACGGCUCACCAAGGCGACGAUCAGUAGCCGACCUGAGAGGGUGAACGGCCACAUUGGGACUGAGACACGGCCCAA
rnacentral:rRNA from 1 species